rnacentral:tRNA from 1 species
GCCCCGGUGGUGUAAUGGUUAACACACAUCUCCGACGAAUGAGAUUGCGGGUUCGAAUCCCGCCUGGGGCA